rnacentral:piRNA from 1 species
UGCUUCCCAUAGACCUGAGUCUAGCCUUCC